UGGCUUUAAAGUGGCACUCGCGUCAAAAUUUUUAUUUUCUUAUUUUCUUAUUUCCUUAAAAUGCUCUUAAAACUGAAUAGUAACUUGUUUUGAAGAUUUUAGUUCUUGAGAUAUUUUAUCUUGUUUGUAAAAAUAUGUGGGUUUCCGGUUUCCCGACCCUACCUAGCUUUUGGACGUCGAAAUCCCGACCCUAAACUUUUUUAUUGGAUCAUGCUUGUAAGUGUUUCCACUUAGAGGAAAAAGUUUGUGGAAAAUUGAAAUUUGAGGCAAUAUUAGGGAAAUUUAUCUUUGGACGUGGAAGCACUGACUAAACAAAAUGGCGUCCGCUUGUUCGGAA